rnacentral:rRNA from 1 species
GACACGACUCUCGGCAAUGGAUAUCUCGGCUCUCGCAUCAAUAAAAAACGCAGCGAAAUGCGAUACGUGGUGCGAAUUGCAGAAUCCCGCGAAC